rnacentral:rRNA from 1 species
GAACACAGGUGCUGCAUGGCUGUCGUCAGCUCGUGACGUGAGAUGUUGGGUUAAGUCCCGCAACGAGCGCAACCCUUGUCCUUAGUUGCCAGCACGUAAUGGUGGGAACUCUAAGGAGACUGCCGGUGACAAACCGGAGGAAGGUGGGGAUGACGUCAAGUCAUCAUGGCCCUUACGGCCAGGGCUACACACGUACUACAAUGGUCGGUACAGAGGGUUGCAAUACCGCGAGGUGGAGCCAAUCCCAAAAAGCCGAUCCCAGUCCGGAUCGAAGUCUGCAACUCGACUUCGUGAAGUCGGAAUCGCUAGUAAUCGCAGAUCAGCUAUGCUGCGGUGAAUACGUUCCCGGG